rnacentral:rRNA from 1 species
CCUACGGGAGGCAGCAGUGAGGAAUAUUGGUCAAUGGACGAGAGUCUGAACCAGCCAAGUAGCGUGAAGGAUGACUGCCCUAUGGGUUGUAAACUUCUUUUAUAUGGGAAUAAAACGUUCCACGUGUGGGAUUUUGUAUGUACCAUAUGAAAAAGGAUCGGCUAACUCCGUGCCAGCAGCCGCGGUAAUACGGAGGAUCCGAGCGUUAUCCGUUUUUAUGUGGGUUAAAGGAGCGUAGGUGGAUUGUUAAGUCAGGUGUGAAAGUUUGCGGCUCAACCGUAACAUUGCAGUUGAAACUGGCAGUCUUGAGUACAGUAGAGGUGUGCGGAAUUCGUGGUGUAGCGGUGAAAUGCUUAGAUAUCACGAAGAACUCCGAUUGCGAAGGCAGUUCACUGGACUGCAACUGACACUGAGGCUCGAAAGUGUGGGUAUCAAACAGGAUUAGAUACCCUAGUAGUC